CGAGGAUGUCAUGCAGAUCCUCGUCCUUGGCGAACUGGACCUUCUUGCGCAGGGCGUGACCGGCGGCCAUGUACACCUCCUCCCGGUGGUGCUUCUUGUAGGGCCGGAAGCGCUCCCAGAUCUUGUGCGUGCUCUCGGAUGAGUACUCGGGGCUGGAGGAGUACCCUGAGUAGUAGUGUCUGGGGGAGAGCUGCGAGUAGGUGGAGUCACGCUUGGAGCGGGUCAGCGGCUUGAGGAAGGACACGCGCUGGCUCAGGCUGUCGGCACCCUCCUCGUAGUACAGGGCGGGAAAGCUGUGCCGGUGCUCGCUGCAGUGGUAGCAAGAUUGUACUGGAAGAGGCGGAGUCUCCAUGCUUGCCACUUCAGAGAUCCACAAGCCGGCCUGUCAGAAAACCCUCGUCUGCUCCAAUGCAGUCCCUCCUCCUCAUCGGGGAAUGUCUGGGGACCGCAUUUGUAUGCAGGUGCACACACAGGUGGCUCAGAGUGCUGAUGCAGGGGUGUGCUGACGUGUACAAGUCAAGGAUGGGCGGGCAGGCGCGUGUGCACACGUCCUAUGCAUCAGCUUCGGGGGCAUGUGCUUGUGUGUGGAGGGGCAGGAAGGUAUGUGUGUCGGGGACAUCCCAGAGAAUGCAAGCACCCAUCUAUGUUAUAGUUGGCAUGUUUAAGUACAUGUGUGUUCUGUGUGUUCUACACGUGUGUGUGCCUACAUGCAACUCCAGCCCCUCUCCUCACAUCUGAGUUGCUCAAACCAGCAUCCCUACAGCCAGACCCAGGGUAUUGGGCAAAGCCAAGCUGUCUGGAGCCUUGGGAAAGCCCAGGCCCUGCCAAAGGAUGCAA
rnacentral:lncRNA from 1 species